GAUGAACGCUAGCGGGAGGCCUAACACAUGCAAGCCGAGCGGUAGAGAUUCUUCGGAAUCUUGAGAGCGGCGUACGGGUGCGGAACACGUGUGCAACCUGCCUUUAUCAAGGGGAUAGCCUUUCGAAAGGAAGAUUAAUACCCUAUAAUAUAUGAUUCGGCAUCGGAUUAUAUUGAAAACUACGGUGGAUAAAGAUGGGCACG
rnacentral:rRNA from 1 species